UCGUACAACUGAGGUGCGAAGGCUGUCGCUGACCCUCAAAGGUCGUGCACGCCUGAGUGCUCUCACACAAUCCAUCUCACCUUUGUGCAUCACCGCGUGGGUCCCCCUUUGCGGGGAGGGCUUGCGUUUUCACAUAAAACUCGAUACGGUGUAGAAUGUUUCUUUUGCGGUCACACGCAAUCAAUA
rnacentral:misc_RNA from 1 species